CCCUUAGACGUUCUGGGCCGCACGCGCGCUACACUGACCAGUGCAACAAGCAUCCGUCCUUGGCCGACAGGCUCGGGCAAUCUUUGAACGCUGGUCGUGAUGGGGAUAGACUAUUGCAAUUAUUAAUCUUCAACGAGGAAUGCCUAGUAAGCGCAAGUCAUCAGCUUGCGUUGAUUACGUCCCUGCCCUUUGUACACACCGCCCGUCGCUCCUACCGAUUGAAUGGUCCGGUGAAGCGUUCGGACCGUGGCCUUUGGACGGUUCGCCGUCUGUUGGCUGCGGGAAGUUCGUUAAACCUUAUCAUUUAGAGGAAGGAGAAGUCGUAACA
rnacentral:rRNA from 1 species